ensembl:lncRNA
CCGGAAGUGAGGCUGUGAGGCGGGUAGGCAUUGCCGGAGCUGAGACUCCAAAGUGCCAAGAACCCUGUCAAGUGGUAGUGUGGGAUAUGACCUACCUCGGCUACCAGGGAAGUCAGACAGGAGCCAAGGGGUGCCACUUGGUGUGGCCCUGAAGAAAAUUUUCCAUGGAUGACUGGAACACCCUUCUGUAUUACUCCCUGAAAUCACACUUUGGUUUCUUUCUGAUGCUUGAAACUAUUCUAUGAGCUACAAAGAUGGUAAUAAAUCUUUGCCUCCCACAGUUCAGACCAAGAAUUCACUGCAACAAGAAUCAGUGUCCCAUGAGCAAAAGCUGUCACAAAGCUUGAAAAUGGCCUUGAUGACCACCCUUGGCUCUAUGCCUUCCUUCACACCCCGGCUGAAUAGGGGGACAGCUCCAGCACCUGGGCACAAGAGGAAGCAGCACUUCGGGAGGCCAGGCGCCAGCUCAGGGCAGCCUGGCUGCCACCCAGGCCCCGAGUGCACCUCCUGCAAAAGAGUGUUUUCUUCCUACUUCAAAAAAGGAGCCCAUGUACCAGCUGCCCUGUGGCCACCUCCUGUGCCGCCCUUGCCUGGGUGAGAAGCAGCACUCCCUGCCCAUGACCUGCACAGCCUGCCAGCAGCCCUUCACCAGCCAGGAUGUGCUGCGGGUGCACUUCUGACUGACCAGCCUCAGCUGGAGACAGCCAUCACUGGAAGGAGCCAGUGGGGAGCAGGAUUGGGGUCACAGCACCUCUGCGGUUUGGCCAGAGACAGGCACAGAGCUGCCUGUUCUCUUUCUGGGCUUUGUCACCUCACAGUGCAGCACAGGGGUGGGGGGCAGGCUUACUUCUAUUCAGGUGGCCACAAGAUAAAGCCAUAGACUGGGUAGGGAGGGUUGGGGAGAUAUCCCUGCUCUCCUGUACCUCCCUGCCAUGCCCCUGCCAACACCUGCCCAGGGUGGGCACCCCUCCUGAAGGCAUCCCACAUUGUCUGCACACCCCCUCCCAGCAAAGCCUGCAGAGUGGGGCACAGUGAACUGCUCAGGGUCACCCAGAAGUAAACCACACGGGGCUUGGGGUGCAUGACUCAGCCCCUGCCCCCAGCUGGCAACACCUGUGGCCUUAAUAAAGUGAUGGUUGACGUCCUCCUUGGGGAGCACCUGUGUCAUCAUACUCCUGUCCCCAUUUGUCCAUUAAGUGACUGUCACGGGGCACCCAUGAAAGGACAAAAGCUAGAUGGCGUGUUCAGUCUGCCCUGUGUUGGAGGGCCCCAGGUCAGGGUUUGCAGUAGGCAUCACCGUGGGGGCUGUGUAGCCUCCAUCUGCAAGGUACCUGUUGCAGCUGUCAUGGAGAAAACACCUGUGCAGCAUGUGGCCCAUUUCAGGAAAAAAUUUGUGUUUAUAGGCUGUCUUUGUUUUUUUUUCUAUUCACAAUCUAGCUUUAUGGAGUCCCAAAGGAUAUGUAUUCCUACAGCUUUGCUUACCAUAUCAAAUAGAUUCUAGUCACCUGAAGAUUCAGUGAGGAAAUACACCACGCUAUUCUGUGCACUUCCGGAGCACACUGGGGAGACUCAGCCUGACGUGCUCCUGCUUAACCCCUGAGGUUAAUGGCAAGCCUUGUGGGCAGCCCAUUUCUUGUCCCC